rnacentral:rRNA from 1 species
UACGAGGGGGGCUAGCGUUGCUCGGAAUCACUGGGCGUAAAGCGCACGUAGGCGGCUUCUUAAGUCAGGGGUGAAAUCCUGGGGCUCAACCCCAGAACUGCCCUUGAUACUGAGGAGCUUGAGUCCGGGAGAGGUGAGUGGAACUCCGAGUGUAGAGGUGAAAUUCGUAGAUACUCGGAAGAACGCCGGUGGCGAAGGCGGCUCACUGGCCCGGUACUGACGCUGAGGUGCGAAAGCGUGGGGAUCGAACAGG